rnacentral:tRNA from 1 species
GGAUGUUGUAGCCGGCGGGCGGUGUGGCGGGUGCGGUUGCCGCGCCCUGGAACGCGGGCGCCGGAUCGACGCCGGCGACGUUCGC